rnacentral:rRNA from 1 species
CCUACGGGAGGCAGCAGUAGGGAAUCUUUCACAAUGGGCGAAAGCCUGAUGGAGCAACGCCGCGUGCAGGAUGAAGGCCUUCGGGUUGUAAACUGCUUUUAUAAGCGGGAAAUAUGAUGGUAACUUAUGAAUAAGGAUCGGCUAACUACGUGCCAGCAGCCGCGGUCAUACGUAGGAUCCGAGCAUUAUCCGGAGUGACUGGGUGUAAAGAGUUGCGUAGGUGGCAUAAUAAGUAGCUAGUGAAAUCUGGUGGCUCAACCAUUCAGACUAUUAGCUAAACUGUUAAGCUCGAGACCGUUAGGGGUAACUGGAAUGUCUAGUGUAGGAGUGAAAUCCGUAGAUAUUAGAAGGAACACCAAUAGCGUAGGCAGGUUGCUGGGACGGUUCUGACACUAAGGCACGAAAGCGUAGGGAGCAAACGGGAUUAGAUACCCCAGUAGUC